rnacentral:rRNA from 1 species
UACAGAGGUCCCGAGCGUUGUUCGGAUUCAUUGGGCGUAAAGGGUGCGUAGGCGGCGGGGCAAGUCUGAUGUGAAAUCCCGGGGCUCAACCCCGGAACUGCAUUGGAUACUGCCUUGCUAGAGUACUGGAGAGGGAACUGGAAUUUACGGUGUAGCAGUGAAAUGCGUAGAGAUCGUAAGGAAGGCCAGUGGCGAAGGCGAGUUCCUGGACAGUGAAUGACGCUGAGGCACGAAGGCCAGGGGAGCAAACGGG